GAUGAAGAACGUAGCGAAAUGCGAUAAGUAAUGCGAAUUGCAGAAUUCCAGUGAGUCAUCGAAUCUUUGAACGCACAUUGCGCCCUUUGGUAUUCCGAAGGGCAUGCCUGUUCGAGCGUCAUUAUCACCCCUCAAGCCCUCGGCUUGGUGUUGGACGGUUUGGUGGAGGCCCCCUCGGGGGCUCCUGCCCCUCCCAGAGACAAUGACGGCGGCCUCGUUGGACCCCCGGUACACUGAGUUCUUCACGGGACACGUAUCGGACACAUGGGUUUACGGGACACGGUCUGCCUCCCCUCAGGGAGAAUCUUUCUAAGGUUGACCUCGGAUCAGGUAGGGAUACCCGCUGAACUUAAGCAUAUCAAUAAGCGGAGGA
rnacentral:misc_RNA from 1 species